rnacentral:rRNA from 1 species
UAUGGUAAUGCAGCCGCGGUAAUACGUAGGGAGCGAGCGUUGUCCGGAAUUACUGGGUGUAAAGGGAGCGUAGGCGGGACGGCAAGUCAGAUGUGAAAACUAUGGGCUCAACCCAUAGACUGCAUUUGAAACUGUUGUUCUUGAGUGAGGUAGAGGUAAGCGGAAUUCCUGGUGUAGCGGUGAAAUGCGUAGAGAUCAGGAGGAACAUCGGUGGCGAAGGCGGCUUACUGGACGGUAACUGACGUUGAGGCUCGAAAGCGUGGGGAGCAAACAGG